rnacentral:lncRNA from 1 species
CUGAACUUUGUCUUUUUUAUUAAAUUUACUUCGUGUGUGUAGGACAUGUCAGACCAUGUCACGUCACUGUCAGAAAUGUCUGUGGCUCAAAACUGAAGGCUUUCUAGGCUCCAUCCUUGCCUCACGCCUUUCUUUUUACUCCCUCCACUCCAUUUCUCCCCAGCAAAAAACCUACUCGCUCCUUGGAAGCUUUGCCCGCCUGUCACUGCUCUUCCUGUCAUACUUCAGGAAGAGCAGUACUUCCCUCACCUCCACCAAGUCUCUACCAAAGUCUUCCCAUCAGAAGAGCCUCACUUCACUUCCUAUGAAUAACUCUUUCCCUGCCCCCUUUGCUAGCCUUGGAAUGGUCUUCACAGGCUUUCUUGCCCCCAGCAUGCUCUAUUUCUGCUUGAUUACGGCCGUCCCUCCACCAGAGUGGGAGCCAUCUUUGGGAA